UACGGGGGGGGCAAGCGUUGUUCGGAAUUACUGGGCGUAAAGGGCUUGUAGGUGGCCAACUAAGUCAGACGUGAAAUCCCUCGGCUUAACCGGGGAACUGCGUCUGAUACUGGAUGGCUUGAGUGUGGGAGAGGGAUGCGGAAUUCCAGGUGUAGCGGUGAAAUGCGUAGAUAUCUGGAGGAACACCGGUGGCGAAGGCGGCAUCCUGGACCGGUAUUGACGCUGAGGCGCGAAAGCCAGGGGAGCAAACGGGG
rnacentral:rRNA from 1 species